UUACAGAUACGCACGCAACAUCUACGAUCUACACUCUCAGCGUCUCUACAUCUUUUCGUUAGACGAAGUUCCAUGAUGCAACGUUCGUAGAAUCGGCUAGAAAGUCCGGUAGCUGCGACGGUCUGAAGACGUCGAUGAGAAAUUAACAUUGCUGCAACGUGACGCAUCGUGCAUACCUAAUAAACAGUUUGACGGUGAUCAGGACGGCGAAGCGGCGUGUCGGUGACGGUAACCAGAUCCGACGAGAAAUACUGAAAAUGUGUAUCGGGCGUAGAAGUUGCAAAUUACGUGGCAGUUUCAGCGCAGCAUUGUUACAAGGUAUGCAAAAGGGGGAGGAACUAACGUCCGUUUCAGUUACACGCGGAGUUACGCCACGACAGUUUGGUAUUUCGGUCUUGAGAUCGGCGUAACUUCGUGUCAAAGUUUGAGUUAACUUAACAGGGGACGUGUAAAACGUGAGUCAAAUUCAUAUCGCGUAGAUCGCGACCUCGUUGGUCUGUAGAUGAUCGCGUAAUGUGAGCACGUUACGGAAAUUUUGAUUAUUCGCUUUGAAGCGAAUCUUCGUAAUCCGAUAAGUUGAUUAACCCUUUUCGAGACAUGGUGUACUUAACGGUAGAACGUAUAACAUAUAAUAUGCAAAUAAAUGUAUGCCACUGUUCAAACGUAGCUGGAUACUUGAUUAUUUUUCGCAAGUUGCAUUUCAACUAUAAAAUCGCAGAUAUAUCGAACUGUAGUGAUUUUAUUUUUCGUUAUUGACAGUGCAUAAUAUAAUAGUUUUAUUAAAUUUAUUUAGAAUUACGUUCGAGAACUGACGUUUGUGAUUGUCAUAUCUGGUAGGAUUAUUUUGUUACUCGACAAGUUCUUUAUCUCCCGGUUUUUUCAUUUCUGAAUUAUAAAUCAAAUUAAGAAGAAUCCUUUUAAAUGAUUAAAUAAAAAGAGAUAAAUUUUAUUACGAAUCGACCGAAGUAUCCGGAUAUUUAUAUUUAUUCUGGAUAGUGUAUAUUUAUGAGUAUACCGGGUUGUAACAUAACAAAGUGUUCGCUUCUAUUGGAUCAAUUUUCUACAAACAUCUUUCCUUUGUGGGUAAAUAUGUUCGUCUUUGUAAAUGUUUUAUAUAUCGUCUAAAGCUAAGAAUAAGCAGGUAUAUAGACUUUAUCGGAAUUCAGUUACAACUUAAUAUUACAUUUUUGUAUAUUAAAUGUAUCUUUCGGACGAGUUAUUUUAAAAUCAUAAAAGAUUUCGCAGUUGUCUUCAUUUCUGCAGUAUUUUGUUCAGAAGACUUCCGCCCAUUGUUCAUUUUUAAAAUAACUAUGCCCCGUUUCUUUCAAAGUGCAAUAUUACGAAACGCGGUCUGUUUUUCUUUCAACAAAUAUAAAUUUAGUCAAACUGCUUCGAAACCUUCAUUAUUCAACGUGGUUCUCACUUUUUGUCUAAUUUAAUAUGAUUCGCUAUUAUUUCUGUUCAUUUUCUAUUCAUAAAUAUCACAGGUA